GUCAGCGACCAUACCACGUCGAAAGCACCGGUUCUUGUCCGAUCCCUGAAGGUAAACCACGUUGGGCCGGGUUAAUACUUGCAUUAGUGACCGGCUGAGAAGUGCGAUAGACUUACC
rnacentral:rRNA from 1 species